rnacentral:rRNA from 1 species
UACGGGGGGGAGCAAGCGUUGUUCGGAUUUACUGGGCGUAAAGGGCGCGUAGGCGGCCACCGCAAGUCGACUGUGAAAUCUCCGGGCUUAACCCGGAAAGGUCAGCCGAUACUGCGGGGCUAGAGUGCAGAAGGGGCAACUGGAAUUCUCGGGUGUAGCGGUGAAAUGACGCAGAUAUCGGGAGGAACACCAAUGGCGAAGGCAGCUUGCUGG